rnacentral:rRNA from 1 species
AACGAACGCUGGCGGCGCGCCUAAUACAUGCAAGUCGAGCGAGAAGACGUAGCAAUACGUUUGUAAAGCGGCGAACGGGUGAGGAAUACAUGGGUAACCUACCCUCGAGUGGGGAAUAACUAGCCGAAAGGUUAGCUAAUACCGCGUACGCUCCUUGGACUUCGGUUCAGGGAGGAAAGCGAUACCGUGGGUAUCGCGCUCUUGGAUGGGCUCAUGUCCUAUCAGCUUGUUAGGAGGUAC